UUUAAUAUACAGGGGAGGUUCACGCCUGAGAGGAGAUAUUAUCUCGACCCUUAACCUGAUUUGGAUAAUGCCAACGUAGGGAGUUUUUAUGCAAGAAAA
rnacentral:ncRNA from 2 species